GACGAACGCUGGCGGCGUGCCUAAUACAUGCAAGUCGAACGCUGAAGGAGGAGCUUGCUUCUCUGGAUGAGUUGCGAACGGGUGAGUAACGCGUAGGUAACCUGCCUGGUAGCGGGGGAUAACUAUUGGAAACGAUAGCUAAUACCGCAUAAUAGUAGAUGUUGCAUGACAUUUGCUUAAAAGGUGCAAUUGCAUCACUACCAGAUGGACCUGCGUUGUAUUAGCUAGUUGGUGAGGUAACGGCUCACCAAGGCAACGAUACAUAGCCGACCUGAGAGGGUGAUCGGCCACACUGGGACUGAGACACGGCCCAGACUCCUACGGGAGGCAGCAGUAGGGAAUCUUCGGCAAUGGACGGAAGUCUGACCGAGCAACGCCGCGUGAGUGAAGAAGGGUUUCGGAUCGUAAAGCUCUGUUGUAAGAGAAGAACGAGUGUGAGAGUGGAAAGUUCACACUGUGACGGUAUCUUACCAGAAAGGGACGGCUAACUACGUG
rnacentral:rRNA from 1 species